rnacentral:rRNA from 1 species
CAGCAGCCGCGGUAAUACGUAGGUGGCAAGCGUUGUCCGGAAUUAUUGGGCGUAAAGCGCGCGCAGGCGGAUAGGUCAGUCUGUCUUAAAAGUUCGGGGCUUAACCCCGUGAUGGGAUGGAGACUGCCAAUCUAGAGUAUCGGAGAGGAAAGUGGAAUUCCUAGUGUAGCGGUGAAAUGCGUAGAUAUUGGGAGGAACACCAGUGGCGAAGGCGGCUUUCUGGACUGUAACUGACGCUGAGGCUCGAAAGCCAGGGGAGCGAACGGGAUUAGAUACCCCUGUAGUCCCUGUCUCUUAUACC